rnacentral:rRNA from 1 species
ACUGGCUCAGGAUGAACGCUGGCGGCGUGCUUAACACAUGCAUGUCGAACGAAGCACUUUAUUUGAUUUCCUUCGGGACUGAUUAUUUUGUGACUGAGUGGCGGACGGGUGAGUAACGCGUGGGUAACCUGCCUUGUACAGAGGGAUAGCAGUUGGAAACGGCUGCUAAUACCGCAUAAGCGCACAGCAUCGCAUGAUGCAGUGUGAAAAACUCCGGUGGUAUAAGAUGGACCCGCGUUGGGUUAGCUAGUUGGUGAGGUAACGGCCCACCAAGGCGACGAUCCAUAGCCGACCUGAGAGGGUGACCGGCCACAUUGGGACUGAGACACGGCCCAAACUCCUACGGGAGGCAGCAGUGGGGAAUAUUGCACAAUGGGCGAAAGCCUGAUGCAGCGACGCCGCGUGAGCGAAGAAGUAUUUCGGUAUGUAAAGCUCUAUCAGCAGGGAAGAUAAUGACGGUACCUGACUAAGAAGCACCGGCUAAAUACGUGCCAGCAGCCGCGGUAAUACGUAUGGUGCAAGCGUUAUCCGGAUUUACUGGGUGUAAAGGGAGCGCAGGCGGUGCGGCAAGUCUGUUGUGAAAGCCCGGGGCUCAACCUCGGUACUGCAUUGGAAACUGUCGUUCUAGAGUGUCGGAGGGGUAAGCGGAAUUCCUAGUGUAGCGGUGAAAUGCGUAGAUAUUAGGAGGAACACCAGUGGCGAAGGCGGCUUACUGGACGAUAACUGACGCUGAGGCUCGAAAGCGUGGGGAGCAAACAGGAUUAGAUACCCUGGUAGUCCACGCCGUA